rnacentral:rRNA from 1 species
UACGGGGGGGGCAAGCGUUGUUCGGAUUCACUGGGCGUAAAGGGUGCGUAGGUGGCAUGGCAAGUUUGAUGUGAAAGCUCAGGGCUUAACCCUGAAAUGGCAUUGAAUACUGCUGUGCUGGAGGUUUGGAGGGGGGACUGGAAUUCUCGGUGUAGCAGUGAAAUGCGUAGAUAUCGAGAGGAACACCAGUGGCGAAGGCGAGUCCCUGGACAACACCUGACACUGAGGCACGAAAGCCGGGGGAGCAAACAGG